rnacentral:rRNA from 1 species
UGCAGUCGAACGGCAGCACAGUGGGUAGUAAUACCUAUGGGUGGCGAGUGGCGGACGGGUGAGUGAUACGUAGGGAUCUGCCUUUUGGACGAGGACAACUUGGGGAAACUCGAGCUAAUACCCGGUAAGCUCUAAGGAGGAAAGGAUGGGACUAGAGAUAGCCAUUCACCAAAAGAUGAACCUACGUCGGAUUAGCUAGUUGGUGGGGUAAAGGCCUACCAAGGCGAUGAUCCGUAGCUGGUCUGAGAGGAUGAACAGCCACACUGGGACUGAGACACGGCCCAGACUCCUACGGGAGGCAGCAGUGGGGAAUAUUGGACAAUGGGGGCAACCCUGAUCCAGCGAUGCCGCGUGUGCGAAGAAGGCCUGCGGGUUGUAAAGCACUUUGAUGGGGGAAGAAGGUUUUGUAUCGAAUAGAUACGAGAAUUGACGUUACCCCAAGAACAAGCACCGGCUAACUCUGUGCCAGCAGCCGCGGUAAUACAGAGGGUGCGAGCGUUAAUCGGAAUUACUGGGCGUAAAGGGCGCGUAGGCGGCUAUGUAAGUUAGAUGUGAAAUCCUUGGGCUUAACCUGAGCAUUGCAUUUAAUACUGUAUGGCUAGAGUAAAGUAGAGGGAAGUGGAAUUUCCGGUGUAGCGGUGAAAUGCGUAGAUAUCGGAAAGAACAUCAGUGGCGAAGGCGGCUUUCUGGACUUAUACUGACGCUGAGGCGCGAAAGCAUGGGUAGCAAACAGGAUUAGAUACCCUGGUAGUCCAUGCUGUAAACGAUGAUAACUAGAUGUUGGCAGGUAAAACCUGUGAGUAUCGAAGCAAACGCGAUAAGUUAUCCGCCUGGGGAGUACGGCCGCAAGGCUAAAACUCAAAGGAAUUGACGGGGGCCCGCACAAGCGGUGGAGCAUGUGGUUUAAUUCGAUGCAACGCGAAGAACCUUACCUACCCUUGACAUCCUGCGAAUUUCUCAGAGAUGAGGAAGUGCCGAAAGGAACGCAGAGACAGGUGCUGCAUGGCUGUCGUCAGCUCGUGUCGUGAG